UAAGGGCGCACGGUGGAUGCCUUGGCACUAGAAGCCGAUGAAGGACGUUACUAACGACGAUAUGCUUUGGGGAGCUGUAAGUAAGCUUUGAUCCAGAGAUUUCCGAAUGGGGAAACCCAGCAUGAGUUAUGUCAUGUUAUCGAUAUGUGAAUACAUAGCAUAUCAGAAGGCACACCCGGAGAACUGAAACAUCUUAGUACCCGGAGGAAGAGAAAGAAAAUUCGAUUCCCUUAGUAGCGGCGAGCGAAACGGGAAGAGCCCAAACCAACAAGCUUGCUUGUUGGGGUUGUAGGACACUCUAUACGGAGUUACAAAGGACGACAUUAGACGAAUCAUCUGGAAAGAUGAAUCAAAGAAGGUAAUAAUCCUGUAGUCGAAAAUGUUGUCUCUCUUGAGUGGAUCCUGAGUACGACGGAGCACGUGAAAUUCCGUCGGAAUCUGGGAGGACCAUCUCCUAAGGCUAAAUACUCUCUAGUGACCGAUAGUGAACCAGUACCGUGAGGGAAAGGUGAAAAGCACCCCGGAAGGGGAGUGAAAUAGAACCUGAAACCGUGUGCUUACAAGUAGUCAGAGCCCGUUAAUGGGUGAUGGCGUGCCUUUUGUAGAAUGAACCGGCGAGUUACGAUUUGAUGCAAGGUUAAGCAGUAAAUGUGGAGCCGUAGCGAAAGCGAGUCUGAAUAGGGCGUUUAGUAUUUGGUCGUAGACCCGAAACCAGGUGAUCUACCCUUGGUCAGGUUGAAGUUCAGGUAACACUGAAUGGAGGACCGAACCGACUUACGUUGAAAAGUGAGCGGAUGAACUGAGGGUAGCGGAGAAAUUCCAAUCGAACCUGGAGAUAGCUGGUUCUCUCCGAAAUAGCUUUAGGGCUAGCCUCAAGU
rnacentral:rRNA from 1 species